rnacentral:tRNA from 1 species
GGGGCUAUCUCAGCUGGGAGAGCGCCUGCUUUGCACGCAGGAGGUCUGCGGUUCGAUCCGCAUAGCUCCACCA